rnacentral:tRNA from 1 species
GCCUCGGUGGUGAAAUUGGUAGACGCGCCGGACUCAAAAUCCGGUUCCGCAAGGAGUGCCGGUUCGAUUCCGGCCCGAGGCACCA